rnacentral:rRNA from 1 species
GAUGAACGCUGGCGGCGUGCCUAAUACAUGCAAGUCGAGCGAACGGACGAGAAGCUUGCUUCUCUGAUGUUAGCGGCUGACGGGUGAGUAACACGUGUAUAACCUACCUAUAAGACUGGGAUAACUUCGGGAAACCGGAGCUAAUACCGGAUAAUAUUUUGAACCGCAUGGUUCAAAAGUAAAAGACGGUCUUGCUGUCACUUAUAGAUGGAUCCGCGCUGCAUUAGCUAGUUGGUAAGGUAACGGCUUACCAAGGCAACGAUGCAUAGCCGACCUGAGAGGGGGAUCGGCAACACUGGAAGUGAGACACGGACAAGACUACUACGGGAGGCAGCAGUAGGGAAUGUUCCGAAAUGGGCGAAAGCAUGACGGAGCAACGCCGCGUGAGUGAUGAAGGUCUUCGGAUCGUAAAACUCUGUUAUUAGGGAAGAAAAUAUGUGUAAGUAAAUGUGCACAUCUUGACGGUACCUAAUCAGAAAGCAACGGCUAACUACGUG